GUUGACCUCGAAUCAGUAGACACC
rnacentral:rRNA from 1 species